GGGGUUGUUUGGUUUUGACAGCGAGAGAUGUGGUAUGUAAGCAUGCAGUGCGUCAGUGAUUUGCACUAUAAUCUCAGUUACUGAACAAUUAUCUGGCAACGAAUCUUAUGCUCUCGCUGCUUAAUCGAAGUAUAGUAGAUUAGCUUUAUUUCUGCCAAAGUGGUAGAAACGAGACAUCGUCCGAAAGCUCUUGUUCCGAAGCGUUCGAUAUGACGGUGCAGCAAAAUCGGGAAUAGUUUCGGCUUCGCCUCGCUGCCGAAAUGAAACUUAGAGGCUAAGGCGCAAGUAGGUGGCUCUGGUCUUGCUUACGCACGAAAACCGAAGGCAGAGAUAAGCAUGUAGAAAGCAUAUGGCUUCCUUGUUUGGACGAGGGUUCGACUCCCUCCAGCUCCACAU
rnacentral:tmRNA from 1 species